rnacentral:misc_RNA from 1 species
GUGAAUCAUCGAAUCUUUGAACGCAAAUUGCACUCUCUGGUAUUCCGGAGAGUAUGCCUGUUUGAGGGUCAGUUUAAAUAAAAAUCGGUGUGGUUGCUGCCUUUCUUGGUGACGCACUGGAUUUGGGUCGUCUUGCCUUCGGUCAAGUGACCUAAAAUUUUGCCUGAUUUUUUUCGAUCGUAUUUAAAUGUUUUUACGUACUUUUGCGUUAUAUUAUUCU